GCGAAGUGCAAAGUCGAGACCCUUCUUCGCCUUCCACCCAGUUUUUCCCAGGAACUGGGCAAUCUUAGGGUCCACUAUAGGGGCGAUACAUAUUAAAUCUGGGAGCGUGGGCAUUCUGCCCGCAUCUUACUUCUUGCCACCUUAUCAAGGGGUUUCCUGAUCCGUGCGGCAAUAUAUUUUGCCACAUGGUCCAGCGGGAACCAUUCAGUUGAUCUUGGGUGUUGCAGACUAUCAGGGUCAAACAAAGGUUCGCCCUGUGGGUCAAGGAGGGUGAAGCCUUCCACCCCGUCCUCGUCCUCAUUCCCAGACAUAGAUAUAGCGCUGUGGUCAGGGAAUAGUGUGCCCAAAUUGAAUGAGUCCUCAUCAUCAGACUCGCUCCAUGCCUCCUCCUGUUCCGAAUCUGACUCGGAUGAUUCCACUUGGGCUUUUGCCCUUUUCCAACUCCGCACCGAUUUUGCCCGGUGGGUGGCUCUUUGUUGUGGUGCAACCACAUUAUCUUUGACAGGACGUUCCCUGUCUGUCCGUAAAGUUUUGGAGGCUUCCUCGUCCAUGUGACGAGAUUUUUUGGUGGCUUUGCGCCCACUGGCCUUGCCUGUAAUGUGUUCCUUAGGGUUAGGAGCAAUGUGCGUAGAGGCCUGUUGGGCGGCCAAGAGGGCAUGGCUAAUAGAGUGGGACAGAGUGUCCGACAUAACUCCCAUGGCUGAGUAAACAGCUUGGGUUACGGAUUUCGUCAUAGUGGCAUCCAGG